GGAAUAUUGCACAAUGGGGGAAACCCUGAUGCAGCGACGCCGCGUGAGUGAGGAAGUGAUUCGUCACGUAAAGCUCUAUCAGCAGGAAAGAAAAUGACGGUACCUGACUAAGAAGCCCCGGCUAACUACGUGCCAGCAGCCGCGGUAAUACGUAGGGGGCAAGCGUUAUCCGGAUUUACUGGGUGUAAAGGGAGCGUAGACGGCAGCGCAAGUCUGGAGUGAAAUGCCGGGGCUCAACCCCGGAACUGCUUUGGAAACUGUGCAGCUAGAGUGCGGGAGAGGUAAGCGGAAUUCCUAGUGUAGCGGUGAAAUGCGUAGAUAUUAGGAGGAACACCAGUGGCGAAGGCGGCUUGCUGGACCGUAACUGACGUUGAGGCUCGAAAGCGUGGGGAGCAA
rnacentral:rRNA from 1 species